GGUGGCUCAGUGGUAGAGUGCUUGCCUAACAUGCAUAAGGCCCUGGGUUCAAUUCCUCAGCACCA
rnacentral:tRNA from 1 species